ACAUACGACCACAGGAAGUGGAAAACAGAGCUUCCCGUCCGCUCAGCUGUACUUAAGCCACUUGCCGGCCGGUUAGUAGUUGGGUGGGUGACCACCAGCGAAUCCCGGCUGUCUGUAUGUA
rfam:Arthroderma gypseum CBS 118893 supercont1.1 genomic scaffold, whole genome shotgun sequence.